GGGUUGUGAGGUUAAGCGACUAAGCGUACACGGUGGAUGCCCUGGCAGUCAGAGGCGAUGAAGGACGUGCUAAUCUGCGAUAAGCGCCGGUAAGGUGAUAUGAACCGUUAUAACCGGCGAUUUCCGAAUGGGGAAACCCAGUGUGAUUCGUCACACUAUCAUUAACUGAAUCCAUAGGUUAAUGAGGCGAACCGGGGGAACUGAAACAUCUAAGUACCCCGAGGAAAAGAAAUCAACCGAGAUUCCCCCAGUAGCGGCGAGCGAACGGGGAGGAGCCCAGAGCCUGAAUCAGCAUGUGUGUUAGUGGAAGCGUCUGGAAAGGCGCGCGAUACAGGGUGACAGCCCCGUACACAAAAGCGCAUGUGCUGUGAGCUCGAUGAGUAGGGCGGGACACGUGGUAUCCUGUCUGAAUAUGGGGGGACCAUCCUCCAAGGCUAAAUACUCCUGACUGACCGAUAGUGAACCAGUACCGUGAGGGAAAGGCGAAAAGAACCCCGGCGAGGGGAGUGAAAAAGAACCUGAAACCGUGUACGUACAAGCAGUGGGAGCACCCUUCGGGGUGUGACUGCGUACCUUUUGUAUAAUGGGUCAGCGACUUAUAUUCUGUAGCAAGGUUAACCGUAUAG
rnacentral:rRNA from 1 species